rnacentral:piRNA from 1 species
UUUAUAUUCUAUAAAUGGAUGCAGUCUGCC